GCCCAGCGAACAAGUUAUUUGUCCCCUACCUCUAGCUGUUUCUGAAAUGUUUGCAAUCUCUAAUGGUGGAGAAGAAAGAGUAGAGACACUCCAGGAGAUCAACGCAGGAAAGUAGUCACCAACUGUGAGUGAUCUGUUGCCGAGGGGACACUACACCGGAGUUACAUAAGCAGAGGUGGAAGUGUUAGGCUAAAUCGCCUUGGUUUGACCUUCGCAAAUCGGUCGACGACCUCCCCAUGGGCCACAUUAGCCAAGACCUCCUUCUCAAUGGAAAUGAUGGCCAAAUGACUAAGCCUCACCUGGCCCAUUGUACUUCUCAGCCAAGUGUGUAGCCUUCGCAAGGCACUGAAGGACCUUUCACAACUGCAGCUGGUGACUGGGAUUGUCAAAGCAGCUUGGAAGAUGGCCUUAAGAGAGGGGAACAUAUCCUCAUCCAAAAGGCAAAAUACACUUUGGAUACUUGGCAUGUCUUUCUCUAUCCUGGCAAG